rnacentral:piRNA from 1 species
UGUACAUUUCUGUGCAACUUU